UCAUAGGUUUUAGGAUUAAAAGAAAACCACAAAGAUUUUUAAAAAGAUGUUUU
rfam:Physcomitrella patens subsp. patens PHYPAscaffold_52 genomic scaffold, whole genome shotgun sequence.